ACUCCUACGGGAGGCAGCAGUGGGGAAUAUUGCACAAUGGGCGAAAGCCUGAUGCAGCGACGCCGCGUGAGGGACGACGGCCUUCGGGUUGUAAACCUCUUUCAGUAGGGAACAAGGCAUCAUUUUGUGGUGUUGAGGGUACUUGCAGAAGAAGCACCGGCUAACUACGUGCCAGCAGCCGCGGUAAUACGUAGGGUGCAAGCGUUAUCCGGAAUUAUUGGGCGUAAAGCGUCUGUAGGCGGCUUAUUAAGUCGGAUGUGAAAUCCCAGGGCUUAACCUUGGAACUGCAUUCGAUACUGGUAGGCUAGAGUGUGUAAGAGGAUAGUGGAAUUCCAGGUGUAGCGGUGAAAUGCGUAGAUAUCUGGAGGAACAUCAGUGGCGAAGGCGACUGUCUGGUACAACACUGACGCUCAGAGA
rnacentral:rRNA from 1 species